rnacentral:tRNA from 1 species
GUGGUUGUGGCUCAGAGGUAGAGCGCUUGCCUAGCAUGCAUGAGGUACUGGGUUUGAUCCUCAGCACCACG